rnacentral:rRNA from 1 species
GAAUGCGCUACUACACUGCAGUCGACGGACUCCGUGGGCUUCUGGGGUUAGUGUGGACGGGUGAGUGUACGUAUGGAUCUGCCUUGAGGUGGGGAACACGGACCGAAAAGGCCGCUUAUACCCCAUGUACUCCCCGGACCUGAAGAUUCGAAAUGAUUCGCCUUCACAGGAGCCUGCCGUCCAUCAUGUAAUUGGUGAGGUAACGGGUCAAAAACCCAAUGACGGAACGAUGUUCUGAUAGGCAGAUCGGACACCCUGGCACUGUGACACUGACCCAACUCCUACACUAGGCAGCGACGAGGAAUAUUGCACUUUGGACCCAUGUCUGAUGCCCUGAUCCCGCCUGGGGGAAUAAGACCUUAAGGUUGUAAACCUCUUUUAUGGUUGACGAGUGAGGACGGCACUCUAUGACUAUAUCUCGGCUUACUGACUGCCCCCAACCACUGUACGACGUAUAACGACAGCGUUAUCCGCAUUCACUGGGCGUAAAGGGCAUGUAUGCGGUUAGUUACUGCCCGUGUUAAAUCCCCUGGCUCACCUGGGGGAGGUCAUUGAAGACUAACAGAUUCGAGGGCGACCUGCGCACGUGAAACUCCCAGUGUAGUACGUGGAAUGCGGGAUGGAUCUUCGAAGAACACCAAUGGCGAUGCGUCACAUGCUGGGAUGCACACUGACUCUGAAAUGCGAAAGUGUGGAGAGCUACUGGGAUUAGAUACCAGGUAGUCCACACUGUACACGAUGAACCCCACUGUGUAGUGCGGUAACAACACUCCCGUGCCACUGCCAGCUCGUUAAGGUUCUCGUCUGUAGACUAUGUAACGCAAGCUUAUAACUCGCAUGAGUAGAACG